rnacentral:rRNA from 1 species
AGUACCGUGAGGGAAAGGCGAAAAGAACCCCGGCGAGGGGAGUGAAAAAGAACCUGAAACCGUGUACGUACAAGCAGUGGGAGCACAGGUUUACCUGUGUGACUGCGUACCUUUUGUAUAAUGGGUCAGCGACUUAUAUUCUGUAGCAAGGUUAACCGAAUAGGGGAGCCGGAGGGAAACCGAGUCUUAAUUGGGCGUUAAGUUGCAGGGUAUAGACCCGAAACCCGGUGAUCUAGCCAUGGGCAGGUUGAAGGUUGGGUAACACUAACUGGAGGACCGAACCGACUAAUGUUGAAAAAUUAGCGGAUGACCUGUGGCUGGGGGUGAAAGGCCAAUCAAACCGGGAGAUAGCUGGUUCUCCCCGAAAGCUAUUUAGGUAGCGCCUCGUGAAUUCAUCUCCGGGGGUAGAGCACUGUUUCGGCUAGGGGGCCAUCCCGGCUUACCAACCCGAUGCAAACUGCGAAUACCGGAGAAUGUUAUCACGGGAGACACACGGCGGGUGCUAACGUCCGUCGUGAAGAGGGAAACAACCCAGACCGCCAGCUAAGGUCCCAAAGUCAUGGUUAAGUGGGAAACGAUGUGGGAAGGCCCAGACAGCCAGGAUGUUGGCUUAGAAGCAGCCAUCAUUUAAAGAAAGCGUAAUAGCUCACUGGUCGAGUCGGCCUGCGCGGAAGAUGUAACGGGGCUAAACCAUG